AGAACCCCUUGUGUGAUUAUUUAAUUCUCUAUCAUAUUGACACUUCAUUCACACAAUUAUUUUACAAUUUUACUCCUUCAGUUUCGCCAUUCCGCCAUUCCCAUAUGUAAAGAUUAUCCGCGUGAUUGGUGAUUCUAACAGUUCAUCUAGAUUGUAUAGUAAAAAUGGUAAAGCUAACAGUGAGAAACAUACUUCAAAUUCUUUUUGUUGAAAUUUCCUUACUCCUUCUAAUCCUAACAGCAAUUUCUGCUUUUUCACCCAAUAUUGUCAAAUCCAUACCUGGGUAUCCGGGCGACCUUCCAUUUUAUCUUGAAACUGGGUAUGUUGGGGUAGGAAAAGAUGAAGAAGUGAAGCUAUUUUACUACUUUAUUAAGUCGGAGAGAGACCCUGAAAGAGACCCGCUUAUGCUGUGGCUCACUGGAGGUCCUGGUUGCUCUGCUUUUUCCGGACUUGUUAUAGAGAUUGGUCCUCUGAUUUUCAAUAAUUCUGCUUGCGAUUGGCACUCGAAAUCACCAACGUUUCAGUUAAAUCCGUCUUCUUGGACAAAGGUAGCUAGCAUUAUAUUUCUGGACUCACCCGUUGGCACAGGCUUCUCUUAUGCUACAAAUCCAGAAGGUUACUACAGUGAUGAUAUUACAUCAUCACGGCAUAUAUAUCAGUUUUUGACAAAGUGGCUUGCUGACCAUGCUGGAUUCCAUAAUCAUCCGCUUUACAUUGCGGGGGAUUCCUAUUGUGGCAGGAUUGUCCCUGUUGUUGUACAAGAGAUUUUCCAGGGAAACAAAGUUGGAUUUCAGCCUUUUAUGAAUCUCCAGGGAUAUAUUCUUGGAAACCCAUUAACAUGGAAGGAGGAUGAAAUGAAAUCCCAUUCACAAUUGAAUUAUGCUCACCGCGUGUCUCUUUUGUCGGAUGAGCUCUAUGAGUCAACCAUAACAAGCUGCAAUGGCGCUUAUCAGGACGUGGACAUGGAUAAUAUUAAUUGCACACUUAAUCUUCAAGCUAUUUCAUAUAACCUGGACCCGUUGUUUGAUGCUCAUGUCUUAAAACCGAAAUGCAUAUCAGAUAAAACAUGGUGCCAGGAGAGCAUAUAUGGGCUAUUGUAUAACUGGGCUAAUGACAUACAAGUUCAAGCAGCUCUUCACAUUCAAGAGGUAUAUGAACAACAAGUUGGUGACUUCUUGUCUAAAAUAUUAAUGGGUACCAAACGCUAUUGGAUAAGAUGUAAUAAAACUUUAGCAUAUGAAUACAACGUUGAAAGUACCGUUGGUUAUCAUCAAAAUCUGACACAAGAGUUCAUCCACGUGUUGAUCUACAGUAGAGAUGAGGAGGAGCAUGUGAAGCACCUUGAAAGAGUCCUCAAACUGUUGGAGCAUUGCCAAUGUGGUGACCAAGACAUGAAGAUAUCAUAUGUGGGAACAUUGGGAUGGAUUAAGAUGCUAAAUAUUUCAAUUUCUGAAGAUUGGAGGCCAUGGUUUGUCAAUGAUCAAGUUGCUGGGUGACUUUCCAAAUACUACUUGAACUCGACCAAAUUUAAAUCAAUAUCUUCCUGGCCUGGCUCUCAACUUUACAGGUCCAUGUGCAGGGAGCGGGACAUACUGCUCCAGAGUAUAAGCGUGCUGAAUGCUUCAACAUGCUGAUGAAAUGGUUAGAAUCGCGUCCACUCUAGUACGAGAGUACCAGGGAAGUUACCGGUUUGCAUCUCUCGUAAUAAAUGAUUGGAGGGGUUUCUUACUUCAAAGUCGAGAGAAAAAAGAAUCGAGAGCAAAAAUAAAUCAAUAUAUCCUACUUUGAGAUGUGCAAAAAAUUGAAGGUAAUCAAAGGGAGAUUUUGGCACAUGAAUGGAAGGGAGAAGAGGAAAAAACGAGAAGGCGGUUUGAGUUAUGAAGUGAAGAAAGAGGAACAAUUGGCUUUUCUUGAGAAACUGUAUUCCAGUUGGCGUGUAUGCAUUUAUUUAAUUUUUUUUAUGGAAACUCAUGAAAUUGCAGUUGGUGUGUAUGCAUUUAUUUAAUUUUUUAUGGAAACUCAUGAAAUUGCAGUUGCUGUGUAUGCAUUUAUUUAAUUUUUUUAUGGAAACUCAGGAAAUUGUAAUUUCGGUA